rnacentral:rRNA from 1 species
CUUUGAUAUUAAUAUACCCCUAAUAUCCGCCAGGGAACUACAAGCGUUAGCUUAAAACCCAAAGGACUUGGCGGUGCCUCACACCCACCUAGAGGAGCCUGUUCUUGAAUCGAUAAUCCCCGUUCAACCUCACCACCCCUUGUUAGACCCGCCUAUAUACCGCCGUCGUCAGCUCACCCUGUGAAGGACUUAAAGUGAGCAAAAUGGGCAAAACCCAGAACGUCAGGUCAAGGUGCAGCGUAUGAGGUGGGAAGAAAUGGGCUACAUUACCUACAACAGGUUACUACGGAUGGAGCCGUGAAACCGGCCCCUGAAGGUGGAUUUAGCAGUAAGGGGGAAGUAGAGAGUUCUCCUGAAGCCGGCUCUGAGGCGCGCACACACCGCCCGUCACC